rnacentral:rRNA from 1 species
GACAGAGGGUGCAAACGUUGUUCGGAAUUACUGGGCGUAAAGCGCGUGUAGGCUGCUGGGCAAGUCGGAUGUGAAAGCCCUGGGCUCAACCCAGGAAGUGCAUUCGAAACUGCCUUGCUAGAGUAUGGGAGAGGGAAGUGGAAUUUCCGGUGUAGCGGUGAAAUGCGUAGAUAUCGGAAGGAACAUCAGUGGCGAAGGCGACUUCCUGGACCAAUACUGACGCUCAGGUGCGAAAGCGUGGGGAGCAAACAGG